AUGCUCACUUCAGCAACACACAUGCUAAAAAUUGGAAUGAUACAGAGAUAGUUAGCAUGGUCCCUGCACAAGAAUGACAUGCAAAUUCACGAAGCGUUCCAUAUUUUU
rnacentral:snRNA from 1 species